ACACUGCACUUGUUUCCCUACUCCCAUUACAGAAUACUACCUCACAAAAUAUGGAAGCAGCAGUAGAGAACUGUGUACCAGACAGUUGGCGAACAGGGACACCUAUUCUGCCAACACCACGAUCAGCUGGCGCAACUGUGUGUGACUAUGGAUGAGGUCCUCCACCCAAGAGGAUUCACUUGCAAAUAGCGGAGAGCCUUCUACCACGAGUCGUCCCAGCGAGCCAGUCCCCCAGCCUACCCAGCAGUCAGCCCAGACUGGAGCCCCCACCACCGAGAGGUCCUUGGUUGCCCCGAUCAUUUCCCUGCUGACUGGGCGAGUAUUGGAUUGGACUGUGGCAGUUUGAGAGAGGGGAGAAGAGGAGUUGGGUUCCUACGAGGGGUUCAUGUCUCUAUUCUUGGCGGUUUUCGAUCAUCCACCGGAGGGCAGAGAGAGAGGUGAGCGACUACUCCGGCACGGUGCCCAGACCGCUGAGGAGUACGCCCUCACCUUCUGAACUGUGGCAGUCUCCAGCAAAUGGCAUCAGCCGGUGCUCCGCAACCUAUUUCGAAGAGCACUGCGUGAGGAGGUCCAGACGGCGUUGGCGUGCUGGGAUGACAACCCACGGAGAUGGGUCAAACACCUCUCCAUGACAGCACUGGAGACAUUGCGUGUCACUUUUGCGGGCAGGAGGGGCUCCAGUGGUGUCUGGUGCAUCUCAAGCCGAAGUCCACUAGGGCAGAGGGACAGCCCUGUGAUUAUCUAUCUCUCCGGGUAGGCGUAAGUAUUCCCUCAUCGUUUUCUGCCAAAUCCUUCUUGGUUUCUAUUUCCCUGGCUGGCUGUCCCUCAGGUGUUGUCUCUACAGCUCUAGUGGACUCCGGUGCCGCAGGGAAUUUUAUCAACAGUCCCUCAACUCCUCUCUGUACAUCACCACAUAUCUGCUCUCCUAUCCUUUUCUGUUACAUGCCCUGGAUAAACAACCAUUGGGAUCUGGCACCCUCACGCACGCACAUCACAUAUACGUACCCACGGAGGUGAGGGAUUGGCUGUUGACCUGGGCGCACGCAUCCCUUUCCGCUGGACACCCACACUAGACAGACCAUCUCCACUAAGUACUGGUGGCCGGACUUUUCCCAGGACGUUUCCCGUAGCCUAGCAGCAGGUAGCCUAGUUAGAGCGUUGGGCCAGUAACUGAAAGGUAGUUUGAUCGAAUCCCUGAGCUGACAAGGUAAAAAUCUGUCAUUCUGCCCCUGAGCAAGGCAGUUAACCCACUGUUCCCCGGGUGCUGAAGACGUGGAUGUCGAUUAUGGCAGCACCUCUCUGAUUCAGAGGGGUUGGGUUAAAUGCAGAAGACACAUUUCAGUGAAAUAUCUAGUCAGUUGUAUAACUGAAUGCAUCUCCCUUUCCCUAAUUCAUGCUCCAUCUAUGCCCAAACAAUGUCCUUGGCACACUCUGGCAAGGAAACUCCCCCUGCCCCCUUCCAGUGACUCAGCGGCCUUGGUCCCAUCUGUCACGGGCAUACAGUUUCACCACUGUUAAGGUUCUUGUGGACAGAAUUUCUAAAUCCUUCAGUUUUUCUCCCUCUCUCUGGCCUCCCUACCACCCUCCAGGUCGAUGAGGCACUGUUCCAGCAGGUCUUCCAACACAAUGGCCUUCGGAGGACAUCUUCUUUGACGUGCCCACAUUUCACUUCACUGGUGUGGAGAGCCUUCAUAGAACCUGGGGGUCACGGUCAGCCUCACUUCCGGGUACCUGCCUCGCUCUAAUAAGCAGGUGGAGAUGAUGAACCAGCAGUUGAUGUUCCUGAGGAGUCACUGCCAGGACCGGCUGGGGGAGUGGGCCCCAAUGCCUUCCCUGGGUGGAGUACACCCAGAAUUCAUUACAUCACUCUUCCACCGGGCUGACUCUCUUCCAGUGUGUUCUGGGUUAUCAGCCAGAUCUGUCUCCGUAGAUCCCAAGCCAGACUGAAGCUCCUGCGGUGGACAAGUUAUUCAGGUGCACAGAAGAGGUCUGGAACAAUGCCCAUGUGAGGUUCCAGGAGGCCGGCAGAAGGAUGCAGGCAGGUCGAUAAUGCAGUGAGGCUCCCGUGUUCCAUCCUCGUGAUCGCAUCUCGCUCUCCACCAGGAACCACCCACUCCGUCUUCCCUGUUAGAAGCUGAGACCCCAGUUUGUGGGGCCUUUCAAGGUCUUCCAGAGGGUCAAUGAGGUUACAUAUACACUACUGUUCAUGAGUUUGGGGUCACUUAGAAAUGUCCUUGCUUUUGAAAGAAUCACUUUUUUCUUCAUUUAAAAUAAUAUCAAAUUGAACAGAAAUACAGUGUAGACAUUGUUAAUGUUGUAAAUUACUAUUGUA